rnacentral:rRNA from 1 species
GACGGAGGAUGCAAGCGUUAUCCGGAAUUAUUGGGCGUAAAGCGUCCGCAGGUGGUGUUUCAAGUCUGCCGUUAAAGCCCGGGGCUCAACCCCAGAAAGGCGGUGGAAACUGAAAGACUAGAGUGCGGUAGGGGCAGAGGGAAUUCCCGGUGUAGCGGUGAAAUGCGUAGAGAUCGGGAAGAACACCGGUGGCGAAAGCGCUCUGCUGGGCCGCAACUGACACUCAGGGACGAAAGCUAGGGGAGCGAAUGGG